rnacentral:rRNA from 1 species
UACAGAGGUCUCAAGCGUUGUUCGGAUUCAUUGGGCGUAAAGGGUGCGUAGGCGGCGCGGUAAGUCGGAUGUGAAAUCUCGGAGCUUAACUUCGAAACUGCAUUCGAUACUGCCGUGCUUGAGGACUGGAGAGGAGACUGGAAUUUACGGUGUAGCGGUGAAAUGCGUAGAUAUCGUAAGGAAGACCAGUGGCGAAGGCGGGUCUCUGGACAGUUCCUGACGCUGAGGCACGAAGGCCAGGGGGAGCAAAACGGG